UACGUAGGGGGCUAGCGUUGUCCGGAUUUAUUGGGCGUAAAGAGCGUGUAGGCGGCCAGGUAGGUCUGCUGUGAAAACUCGAGGCUCAACCUCGAGAUGUCGGCGGAAACCAUCUGGCUAGAGUCCGGAAGAGGAGAGUGGAAUUCCUGGUGUAGCGGUGAAAUGCUCAGAUAUCAGGAAGAACACCCGUGGUGAAGGCGGCUCUCUGGGACGGUACUGACGCUGAGACGCGAAAGCGUGGGGAGCGAACAGG
rnacentral:rRNA from 1 species